ACAAAAAAAGCCCAGUUGGAGGCCCAAAGAACUUGUUACAUUUAGAAUGGUUCAAAAGAAACUGGUACACCAAGUGGAACCCUACACCUGAUCUUUUCUGUUGACAUGGCACUAAUCCAUUAACGUGCCAAGACAACACCCACUCUUGAACUGAAGAGGACACGCACAAACAGGGCAUCCGAUGAGAAUAAUACUCGUAUAUAGUUGGUUUCCCACGGACAACCUAUUCACCAGGUCCCAUCCAUCCUCUCUCUUUCGCUCUACUCUUUCUCUCUCUGAAAUGUUAGAUACACAUGACAUGUACUAGAGAGCUCAUCAGCAUGUUCUUCAAACUCGAAGCCGAAAACAUCUUAUAAACAAUUAAUAACAACUUUAAACGUAAGUCCAUUCUCAUCACUUCAAUUUUUUAUAAUUCGUUUGAUUUUUUGUCUAUUUAGUUUGGUUAAUUAUCUGUUUAUGUUUGAUACUCUAUUUAUUCAAAUUAAUAUUACACUGUAGUUCAUAAGGGUUUCUAGCAUCAAAACUAGGUUUUAAGAGCUAGCUCCUUUUUCACUUGAUUAUUAUUGUUGAUUAUAUACAUGCAUAGUUGUAUGUGUAUAUAUGCUUUGUUUUGUUCUGUGUAGAGCAAGGUUGUGGUCAAAUUAGAUGCCGAUGAAUAUAAUUCAUGUAGGCCGUGGAUCUCCCAAAGUUAUAUUGUCUGAGCCCACGGGAUCGACGGCUGAGGUGCUUCUGUAUGGCGGGCAGGUUAUUUCUUGGAAGAAUGAACAAAGAGAACUGCUUUUUACAAGCAGCAAGGUGAAUCAAUUCUUUUUACCCGAGGAAUUUAAAUUUAAUUAUAUUACAGUUAACAACCAUUUUGACAUCUAAUGCCCAGAUGGUUCGUUUUUUAUGUGCUAGAAUUCUGAAAAUGCUCAUUACCGGCCUUUUGAUUUUGAAUUACCCAUGUCUUCUCCUUAUGAAUUUUAAGAAUUGUGUUUUUUCCACUUAAGAGCUAGAAGUUGAAUUUUAUUUUAUAUAAUUUGAAUUUGACACAAGAGACCAUUGCUUUAUAUGGUAGUAAAAGCACAGGCUAGCAGACCUGAGAGUACAAGUUUGGGCUGACACUCUCCAAUCCCGCUCAAUUAAUAUCUAAUAGAUAUUAUUUUGUUAUUCUUGCUGUAGUUCAAUUUUCACAACCUCUAUUGAGGGAAAAUAAUGUAACUAUUGCCCUCACAUAAAGCUUUUAGUUUUCGUGAGUAUUGUAAUGAAGCUAGAUUUUCCAACAUUAAUUAACAUAAUAGUAAAUAGUAUAAUGUGAUUAUUCAUUUUAAGAUAUGUAUUGUGGAUUGUAGAAUCCUUGUUAAAAUGAUGCGGAACUAUACUUAAAGAUCUUUAGAUUAUACACUCUAGACUAUCUAGUAAGUUAACUAUUAGAAAAGGGAACAUGAAUCUUCACAUGUAUAUGCAUAUUUUCUAUUUCAUGGUUUACUAAUCUUUAUGUUUCACUUUAGUACUACUUAUCAAAAAAACAUUUCUCUUUUGUAUUAAUUGAAACCCUAAUCUAAUCUUGUUUGAAGCAGCAAACCAAGUUUGCAAUUGUUUACAACUGUCCUUGUUUGAGUUACUAACACUCAGCUACUACAUAAGAGUUCUUGCUAUGUUCCACAAGCUGUUUGGAAACCACCUAAAUCCAUCAGGGGAGGUAUACCCAUCUGCUUCCCGCAGGUUGGCUGAUGACAAAAUUAACAAUAAUAUUGCUUUUGUAUUCGUAGCAUACAUAGAUAUUACGUGAAUAUUCCAGUUUGCAAAUUUUGGUUCACUGGAGCAACAUGGAUUUGCAAGGAAUAGAUUGUGGUCGCCGGACAACUGUCCUCCUUUGACUCCCGCUAAUAAUCAAUCUUAUUCUGAAGUCUACUGAAGAGUCUGAAAAUUUGGCCACAUAAGUAUGAAUUGUAUGGUAUUAUAAUGUAUUAUAAUAAUGUGCUAGUAUAUCAUUACUUAUUUAGACAUUAAAAAAAUAUAUACGGUGUUUUCUGCAGAUUUGAGUUGCGGCUUCAUAUUUCUCUUAGUGCUGGCAAGCUCACUCUGAUUCCUGUGUGAGAAAUGUGGAUAACAAGGACUUCUCAUUCACGUUCCCACUGCAUAAUUACUUAUCUGUUUCGAAUAUCAGGUUUGCCAAGUAUUUACCUUCUUUUUUUCCCAACUGCAACGAUUAUGGUGUCAUUCUGUUCUUUUUUUUUUUCUUCUCCCCGGUAAAACCUCCCUGUCAUCGUGAUAGUAACUGAGUUUGCAAUUACCUUUGAUGAUGAGGUACCAUGUAGCAUGUACUCUGCUUUUGUUCUCAAUAUGGUGUGUUUUCACAAUUGGCAAAUUAGGAUUGAACUCGGGACCUUGGGAUUGCAUAUUAACUACCAUAGAAUAAGUUAAAGGUUCUAUAUUUUAUCUAGUUUUUAGUGAUUUGGAAUUAAGAUUUUCUUAAUAUUUGAACUUUCUCAACCAUUUUUAAAGUUGUAUUGUUUUUUGGCCUUUAGAUCGAUCGAGUGUAUUUGAGCACACCACCAAAGAUUGCAAUAAUAGACCACGAGAAGAAGAGAACCUUUGUACUGCGUAAAGAAGGCAUGCCUGAUGCAGGUUUAUAUUGUUAUACUUGUAUUAGAGCUCCGUUAUUGUCACAAGCUUCAUUUGUAUUCCUGAUGCAGGUUUACGUUGUUAUACUCGUUUUAGAGCUCUUUUGUUGUCAGUCUCGAUUUCUCUUUCUUGCUUGCUCAUACGUGAAUUUCAUGUGGUGGAUGUACAAUUUUAUGGAAUCCCUGGGACAAAAAGGCCAAGGCUCUCCCAGAUUUGGGCGAUGAAGAUUACAAAACUAUGUUAAUGGAAGAGCCAUCAAGAGCUCACUACUGUGUCAUCUAGUUAUUGCAAUGGGCAGCUGGACCCUCGCAAUGUUCUCGGCUUUUGCUGAUCUCUUGCAUGAAUUAAAUAAAUGGGGUUCUGUAAUUUUAGAACAGUCUAAUUUAGUGUACAACAUACAUGCACUUGCUCGACUGCAUAUAAGCAUUGUUGUGUCCAGCUGAACGUAAUAUAUAGUAAUAAGCAUCCAAGAGUCACAGGCUUAUCAAUGAGAACAUCCUCGUCUUGCCUUUUGUAACAGUGAGGAACGCACGGUUGGUACCAAAUGUGACUUGAUCAACUGCCUCUUUGUAAUUGUGACGAUUGCCUCUUUAUUUUUUGAAUCGUAAAAUUGUUGAA